AUAUUGCCUUCAACUAACAAAAUAAAACGAUAAGAACGCAUCAUCAUGAAGAUUCCCCAGAGAAAUCUUGUAGCAGUAUCUAUCAUGGUGAUCGUCUUUGUAAGUUUUUCAGUUGCUAAUGUGCAAGCAAGUGAUCAAGUUGUUUUUACUCUUCGAGGAAUAAAGGGUAAUAUACCUAACAUUGAUGAGGAAAUUGCUGCAAAAUCUGGUGAAAGUACGAAACAAAACAAUUUCAAAAUAGACAUCCGAACUCAGAGAAAACUAUCGUCUGCCACAACUGAUGGAGAUGUUUCACACCACCGGGAGAAUGUUGGUGAAUACUGCAACUUCCUGAAGUCUAUUGGUAAAAGCUGUCCUAACUAGGGAAGAUGAUAGAACAAUGGAUGUCCUAGAGUACUGUUGCUUUUGAGCCUUAUUAUAUGAUCAUGUAUAUUGAAAUAAAUCUCUAGGACUUUACUUGUUUUAAAACUAUACUGAAACUACACAUAAUGUGUGAAAAUAUAUGUAUAGCGGCCUUGCAAUACAAGGGAAGACUAGUAAUAAAAAUAAGCAGUUAUGUGCA